rnacentral:rRNA from 1 species
UACGUAGGGGGCAAGCGUUGUCCGGAUUUAUUGGGCGUAAAGGGUGCGUAGGCGGUUCGGUAAGUUUCGUGUGAAAUCUUCGGGCUCAACUCGAAGUCUGCACGAGAUACUGCCGGGCUUGAGUGUGGGAGAGGUGAGUGGAAUUUCCGGUGUAGUGGUGAAAUGCGUAGAGAUCGGGAGGAACACCCGUGGCGAAGGCGGCCACCUGGGCCGACCCUGACGCUGAGGCGCGAAGGCGUGGGGAGCGAACGGG